ensembl:snoRNA
ACCUGAGAUACAGGAGACACUGUCUCAAAAAAAUUAUGCUUUUUUUGUCUUGGUUUUUGUGAUAAUGCUAGCAGAGUACUCACAAGAAGAAAAGUAACUGCAAUGGAUCCCAAAGACUGGGGUGAACCUCUUUCUUAAUGUCCAGUGUCCUUUGUCUUAUGAUUUGGCACAAUAU